rnacentral:rRNA from 1 species
UACGAAGGCAGCAGUGGGGAAUAUUGCACAAUGGGCGCAAGCCUGAUGCAGCCAUGCCGCGUGUAUGAAGAAGGCCUUCGGGUUGUAAAGUACUUUCAGUCGUGAGGAAGGUGUUAAGGUUAAUAACCUUAGCAAUUGACGUUAGCGACAGAAGAAGCACCGGCUAACUCCGUGCCAGCAGCCGCGGUAAUACGGAGGGUGCGAGCGUUAAUCGGAAUUACUGGGCGUAAAGGGCACGCAGGCGGUUAAUUAAGUUGGAUGUGAAAUCCCCGGGCUUAACCUGGGAAUGGCAUUCAAGCUGGUUAGCUAGAGUCUUGUAGAGGGGGUAGAAUUCCAUGUGUAGCGGUGAAAUGCGUAGAGAUGUGGAGGAAUACCGGUGGCGAAGGCGGCCCCUGGACAAAGACUGACGCUCAUGUGCGAAAGCGUGGGGAGCAAAC